rnacentral:lncRNA from 1 species
UCCCUCCCUUAAACACACGGCUUCACCCCUCUAGUUUGCCCUGCUCCUUUUAUUGACGCGAACCUCCCGUUCUCGCGGGAACUUGGAAGCGGGAGCAGGGUAGGGUGGACAAAUCUCUCGAAAUCUCAGUUGGCGCUGGAGUUGGAGCGGCGGCCCGAGCUCCUGAGGGUCGGGGCGGGGCCUGGGACCUGGAAGGGGCGGGGCCUAAGCUCAGAGAGGGGAGGGAAGAGGCAGGAGGGGGAGUUGAGAAACACCAGGGGCGGGGCCGCGCGGCCGGGAACCUGUUGAUCGCAGGUAGAGCCCAUCGGCCGUGGCUCCCGCGGGACUGGGGCGACUGCGCAUGCUCGGUGGCCGCGCUGGGCCAGUCGCCGAGCCGCGGAGACGAACCGAGUCUUCGGCUGCGGUGGUUGCGGUUGCAGCGAUGGCGAUGUGAGGGGCCCCGGGGAGGGAUGGUGCUGACCUGGGUAGGGCCGUCUUCUUCCAAGCAGGACAACGAGCUCCUCCCCGCGACAGGCGGUGGAAGAGGCGGGGCCGGGCGAGAGGAGGAACAAUACAUUUUUAACAAGAAUCAGUAACUGGAAGUACAAAAUUGGUUAUUUAAUGUUAAAAUGAAGUUUUGAUCAGCAGAGGUAAGAUCAUUUGUUUUCUAUUUAAUGAGUAAUAGAUUAGAAUAUUUGUAAAAUUUCUGUGAA